CGGAUCAUCGGAAGGCCAAAAGCAAGUUGCGGACGCCGGCCGGACGUUGCAAUUCCACCCUUCUAAUCUGCGUAAGUGCGGGGGCGUCGGCGUCACGGGAACAGCGUCUCUCAUCCGCCGUCGCCGUCGCCGUCGCCGUCGCCGUCCUCUGAAACGCCGUCGUUUCCCUGCGCGGGUGCGCCAUUUUGCAUUUUUCCCUCUGCCUCCCUCGAACCACCCGCGCGCCUCCACGCGAAGGUCAUGCCAUGGAGGCUCGAGGGUGCGAGCGGCUGCACCGCGCGCUCCGCGAGUGCCACCGCCGCGUCCCGUCGGAUCUCGCCCGCGCUUCGGCGUGCCGGCACCUGAACAGCGCCCUAGCCCAGUGCCUGGUGUCCGAGGUCUGCCCCGACGAGUCGGAGGCCGUCCGCAGCCUCUGCGCCAGCGGCGGGACCGCCCUCAAGCGUUCCCAGUGCCGGCAGGCGCAGCUCGAUCUCUCCGUCUGUCUCGCUUCCCAUCAACGCGAUUAAUCCUCCUCGAGAACCCUAGAUGCCGCGAUUUCCCUCUGGUCACUUGAAACCUGACAGACAGAGGAAAGCAGUCUCGAAGGUUGACUGAAGGUUGCGUUUCAGGCUCCGAGUGAACCGUCGGUUUGUACGAGUGAGAGGAUCUAAAGGCAUAUUGCUCAUUACACUGCUUCUGGCAGCCCAGCUUUCGAUCUUUUAUGAAGAAAUAUUGCACGCAUAUUUCUUGGGGAGGUCGCAUAUGAUUUUGCACAAUAUUUUCCCUUGUAUAUAUCAACUUAUAGUUUUAUCUUUAGUCUUAUGGUGGGUCAGUAGGUUGACUUGCAUAUUUCCAGCAAACACGUGUUAAAAGAUUAUAGUCUUACUUGGUUGAUGAUGUUCAUGUGCAACAAUUGCUCUAAUGACCAGUUUCGGUCGUGUAAACAAGCGAUGUUUUCGAAACUCGCACUGAAGGAUUGUGUUUGAUCCUGUGUCCAAUGAUGUUUCAGAGCUUGCUCUACUCUCUUCUUUUAUUUAA